CAGCCGCCACGGUAAUACGAAGGGGGCUAGCGUUGUUCGGAUUUACUGGGCGUAAAGGGUGCGUAGGCGGACUGAUAAGUCAGGGGUGAAAUCCCAAGGCUCAACCUUGGAACUGCCUUUGAUACUGUUAGUCUUGAGUUCGAGAGAGGUGAGUGGAACUGCGAGUGUAGAGGUGAAAUUCGUAGAUAUUCGCAAGAACACCAGUGGCGAAGGCGGCUCACUGGCUCGAAACUGACGCUGAGGCACGAAAGCGUGGGGAGCAAACAGGAUUAGAUACCCGAGUAGUCCCUGUCUCUUAUAC
rnacentral:rRNA from 1 species